CUGUCACAUCCAACCCUAGCCUCCCUCCUCCGUCGCGCCGCCGCCCCGUCUCCAUCUCCUGCACCUCCCGCAAAAUUCUACCGAGAGCUAACGCCGCCGUUCUCGCACGCUCGUCGUCGCCAUGGACGCCAUCGAGGUGACCUGAGCAGUGGAAUCGCUCCGCCUCUGCGUCCUCUUCCUCAACGUCUGCUUCACGGAUCCGGAGACGCCAAGAGCUGCACGAGCCGUCCUCGCCUCCGUCGUCGUCUACCCCGGCCACCUUUCUUCCUCGUCGUCGGCGAACUUCUCCGCCGUUUCCUCCUCGUCGCUGAGCACACCAGGGUGAGCACCACACCCUCUCCUAUCCCCUGCAUGCCUCAACGUCGCUGCAUCGUCGCAGAUCCUCGCCGGCACACUCCAUCUCAGCAGGACAUUCUUGUUUCUCCAGAUGCACCGCAUCACCAGCUAUCUACUGGUUUUUGAAUCACCCAAAACGGAGCAGUAUCGGCGAAGUUAUCGUCUUACAAAGUUGGCUCCAGAAAUCUGUUUCAAGUUUCAGAUUCAGCAUGUUGUUUCGUCUGUCUGUUUUCCGGCGAGCUUCUCCGGCGACUCUGUGCGCCGUUUCCAACCAUAUCGGUCCCAUUCGUAUCAUGUCACAUCCCUCUUGAUCAAACACUUUUGUUUAGCUCGAAACGGUGCCCAGAUUCUUCUCGGACACAGCUUUAAAAUCCGUGCAAAUCGCCAUCUACAGGAACACGCCGCUGUCACGUAUUUCAGUUUCAGUGUCAAUUCUUCAGUUAGCACAUACCCACACGUUCUGUUCCUAGCAUCCUGUUUCCUAUCAAAAUCCAAACAGCAACACACUGGCUAUCAGCCUUGUCUCACUUUCGAUCGUCCCGAGUUCGAAUCCCCUGUGGCACGGGAUUAAACCAACCUUUUUGAUCUCGGCCACGCUGGCGCCUACGUGGCGUGGAGCCCCACUUGUCUGUGUCUCUGUCUAGCUUCUUUUUGAUCUCGGCCACGCUGGCGCCUACGUGGCGUGGAGCCCCACUUGUCUGUGUCUCUGUCUAGCUUCAGUUCGCUUUUGCUUCUUCCCGGAUAGGAUCACGAAGUGGUGUUGUGAGAUACGACGAGUUUUCCGACAAGUUCUUCUGCAGCUUUUCACAGGCGAGCCCACCCCUUCAGCUAUUUUACUUUUACAUGCUCUUUUGAUCUAUUGCUAUCCUUAUGUUGCGAUUCUGUUGUGUCACGUGUCCUAUCCACCUGUUACCUAUAUGUCCGAGAUACACCUCCUCGCCCUACCUAUUGUUUGUUGUUUGCCAGCCUUGCGAGUCGUAGGCGUGUUUAGGCUCUGUUGUUUAUCUCGAUCUGUUAUCGGGAUAUGUUGGGUUGUUGGGAGGUUUUUACAUGCUAUAUCAUUUGUUGGAGAUAAUCACACUUUACUUUAUUGUUAACAACUAAAAUUGUAAGCAGAGGCAUCUGUGAGCCCCUUUGCGAAAGCAUCGGAAUUUUGACUUGCUAAUGUCCCCUAGGACCCGAGUUCUUGUUAUCUGUUCCGAGAUUGAGCGCUCUACCCGUACGUGGGGGAAUGGGACCCCCAUCACCCACUACCUUUCCUCGAGUCUGUUUAUUGGGAGCCACAACCUUGGUUUUAUUUGCCCAUAUACACGAUGCACGAUU